rnacentral:rRNA from 1 species
UGGGGAAUAUUGGGCAAUGGGCGAAAGCCUGACCCAGCGACGCCGCGUGGGCGAUGAAGGCCUUCGGGUUGUAAAGCCCUGUCAUGCGGAAAGAACGACCCUGUGACGCAUACUCACAGGGAGUGACGGUACCGCAGGAGGAAGCACCGGCUAACUCCGUGCCAGCAGCCGCGGUAAUACGGAGGGUGCAAGCGUUGUUCGGAAUUAUUGGGCGUAAAGGGCGCGUAGGCGGUAAUGCAAGUCAGAUGUGAAAUACUCCGGCUCAACUGGGGAACUGCAGCUGAAACUGCAUAACUAGAGUACAGAAGAGGGCAACGGAAUUCCCGGUUUAUAGGUGAAAUUCGUAGAUAUCGGGAGGAACACCAGUGGCGAAGGCGGUUUCCUGGUCUGAUACUGACGCUGAGGCGCGAAAGUGUGGGGAGCAAACA